UACAGAGGGUGCGAGCGUUAAUCGGAAUUACUGGGCGUAAAGCGUGCGUAGACGGUUAUUUAAGUCGGGUGUGAAGGCCCCGGGCUCAACCUGGGAAUUGCAUUCGAGACUGAAUAGCUAGGGUACGGUAGAGGGAAGUGGAAUUUCCGGUGUAGCGGUGAAAUGCGUAGAUAUCGGAAGGAACAUCAGUGGCGAAAGCGACUUCCUGGACCAGUACCGACGUUCAGGCACGAAAGCGUGGGGAGCAAACAGG
rnacentral:rRNA from 1 species